GAUGAACGCUGGCGGCGUGCCUAAUACAUGCAAGUCGAGCGAACAGACGAGGAGCUUGCUCCUCUGACGUUAGCGGCGGACGGGUGAGUAACACGUGGAUAACCUACCUAUAAGACUGGGAUAACUUCGGGAAACCGGAGCUAAUACCGGAUAAUAUAUUGAACCGCAUGGUUCAAUAGUGAAAGACGGUUUUGCUGUCACUUAUAGAUGGAUCCGCGCCGCAUUAGCUAGUUGGUAAGGUAACGGCUUACCAAGGCGACGAUGCGUAGCCGACCUGAGAGGGUGAUCGGCCCAACUGGAACUGAGACACGGUCCAGACUCCUACGGGAGGCAGCAGUAGGGAAUCUUCCGCAAUGGGCGAAAGCCUGACGGAGCAACGCCGCGUGAGUGAUGAAGGUCUUCGGAUCGUAAAACUCUGUUAUUAGGGAAGAACAAAUGUGUAAGUAACUAUGCACGUCUUGACGGUACCUAAUCAGAAAGCCACGGCUAACUACGUG
rnacentral:rRNA from 1 species